UCCAUCCACCCCUCAAAGUAGUCCCUUACAAAACCCCCCUGGUAAAACAAAUACUUGCCUCCCUACCUCUCCAAUCCCUCUUCCAAGAGCAAAGGGGGUCCCUGAUGUCUUCGGCAGAGAGUUGAGACCCUUAAAAAUCCCCGAAUUUCGGAGGGUGCGGAGGGAUCUGGAGCUGCGGUGAAACGGCUACUCCAAACGGCGGCAAGCACACAGGAGAGACAGCUUUGUUUUAAAAGCAGUGCUUCUACCAUCAACAUGCUUGGGCUUGCUUGUCCUGCUCUGAAUGAUCCAGAGGAAGAUGUGGCAAUUCGCUUCCUGAUGUCGGGAGACUCUUCACAGGGCAUUUUACAAAGACAUCAGUCUGAAAUCACAGGUUUGUGCCUACACACAAUGCCAGUGAAAGCGACAAUAUCUGGAUCUGUUCUAAAAUUACAUGUCUGUGUCUUUGCAGUCUGUCUCCUGCUUACGAGUCUGCUGGAGCCGAUCCAAACUGCAGUGCAGUGAAGGAGCUCUCUUUGUUCCUGUUUUCUUUGCUGUGUCUGAGCAGGAUAGCAGAGAACCAUUUUGAAAAACAGAAAGAAGUGAGUCUAGAAUGCUGUGAAUAAUUAACAUUUUUCUAUUGAACAGCAACACUGAAGACCAUUCUGAACAGCCUUUGUCCGUCAGACCCUUUGUCUUCAGAUCCAGCUCUUCCCUUGAUAAGGGGAAUAUCCAGAAAGGUCCCCCUCCAUGAUCUAAAGACUAAAAUCCAAACAUUGGUAUUUUUCUCCCUGUACAAACUGUGAAAUCUUUAACACCUCAGUGCUUUUAAGCAUGGUAUUAGCUAUGAACUACUUCUAGUUCCCUGUUUGUUAGACAAAAAGCAUCUACGGUUUCUACUUCCCUUAAACCCACAAACAUGUCGCUCCUUUUAGUGCUGCUUCUGCAAUGAAAAUGCCCUUACAGGCAGAAUCCACACAGGCUGCAAGCCAGCUCUGCAUAGCUGAGUCAUUGUUAUACAAGCAGAGCUGCAUGGCACAGAAAAGCACCUUUGUACUUCAGCACUAACACACAUCAGCUGAUGAACUUUGAAUAUGUGAUACACCCAAAGAGAACAGUCAUUUACUGGACUUUUCUUCCUCUUAUCUUUCUCACCUCUUUCUGAAUGUUUCUUCCUUUUCUAUUGUGUUUCAGAAGGUUUAGAGGAAAACAUUCUAUAUCUUCUACUGCCACUAAUGUUUGGUAAACGUUGGAAAUAAUCAGUGUGAGGGCUGUUAACUCUUUAGGCACUGGGCAACAUCUAACAGCCACACGUGCAUGUACCCCCAAUCCCAUAUGCAACCACUGAAAUUUAGGACUUGCAAUCAGAAUACCAGUAAAAUUUAACAUCAGCCAGAGAUCUGCUGUAAAGUUCUAGCAUUGUCUCUUCCCGUGAGGCCUAAUUUUGAGCUUUAUGAGUCCUUUGAAACAAAUGAAAGAGGAGGAAGAAUAUUUUUGCUGUAACCUUCUGAAAUGACUGCAUUCUGCUUCUCAAUUUUUUUCUUUCUUGCGGUUCUUUCCUUGAAACAUCAUAGGGGAACAGAAUUUAGCUUCUCAAAAUGCUUUCUACAUUUAGUAUACGGUGAAUUAAUAGUGGAGGUAAGUGGAAACUGACAGAUUUGCAUAUAUGACAUAGAUUGCACACUCCAGUUUUCACUCAGGAACUGCUUUAGGAGGGUGUACAGAUGUUUAGUGUCUCCUAAAGCAGGCAGGUGUCUGUGAACUGAUCCAUGAGCAGCUCCUAAAACAUGCUCUGCCUUUUAGUUUCGUGUUGUUCUUGUUUUUAGAGGACAGACCACUGUAGGCUGAAACCUGCAACUGCUGCAGGCCAUACCCCACACCUAGGGCAGAUGAAGCCAUGCUGCAGACUACACAGACUUGGUUUCAGCUCACGGUCUCCAGUUUCACCUGAGUGACAUUUCCUCCCAAAAUAUAAGGUGACUAACAUGAAGUUGAGUGUGACUAAAAGUCUGGGAGUGGCCCAGAUCAGGCGCUCCUGAAGAACGUGCUGACGUGGGCCAGAAUUUGUCACAUACAGCAUAUUUAAAAUGGUUCCAAUAGAAUGAAUAACGAGUACAGAGGUUCAGAUGGGGAAUAACAGGAAACUGUAACUCAGCACCCUUUCCUAUCAUCAGUGAAGGGUGAUGCUGAGCCACUGGAUUGUUAUUUGAGUCCUGCUAUAUGCCAACUCAGGAGGCAGCCCACACACUGCAGAUGCAUGUUUUUAAAGCUGUUUUCCAGACCAGAGAGUGCUGAUGGACGUUUCGUCAUCGUCCAGUUGCUUUGCUAUAUUCCUGGAUGAGACGUGACCCUCUGGUGCCUGUUCUGCUCCAUACCAGACUAGUAACUCACUUGUUUACAUCUCUCCCUGUUCCGCUUCCAGAGAAGAGCAAGGCAUUAAGAAUUGUUGCCAAUACAAGUUAUUGAUUGUCGCUCCAACAAAAUACAUUUCCACUCCAGCCACCCUGGGUAUUCA